rfam:Tatumella morbirosei strain LMG 23360 Contig3, whole genome shotgun sequence.
UAGUGUUCAGGUAGCUGAAGAGCCUGGGGCGGUAGCGUG